AUUGAACGCUGGCGGCAUGCCUUACACAUGCAAGUCGAACGGCAGCACGGGUGCUUGCACCUGGUGGCGAGUGGCGAACGGGUGAGUAAUACAUCGGAACGUACCUUAUCGUGGGGGAUAACGCAGCGAAAGCUGUGCUAAUACCGCAUACGCCCUGAGGGGGAAAGCGGGGGAUCGAAAGACCUCGCGCGAUUAGAGCGGCCGAUGCCUGAUUAGCUUGUUGGUGGGGUAAAAGCCCACCAAGGCGACGGUCAGUAGCUGGUCUGAGAAGACGAUCAGCCACACUGGGACUGGGACACGGCCCAGACUCCUACGGGAGGCAGCAGUGGGGUAUUUUGGACAAUGGGGGCAACCCUGAUCCAGCAAUGCCGCGUGAGUGAAGAAGGCCUUCGGGUUGUAAAGCUCUUUUGUCAGGGAAGAAACACCGGCUCUAACACAGUCCGGGAAUGACGGUACCUGAAGAAUAAGCACCGGCUAACUACGUGCCAGCCGCCGCGGUAA
rnacentral:rRNA from 1 species